AGUGCCAGGAUGCCAGCGCCUCGCCUGGUCACUGCGGGGACCGCAGCUGGACAGCAGGGAUCCCCCUCAAGCCGGGUUCCAGGAGUAGGGUCUCCCCAGGAAAGGAGAUUGCGCUCUUCCUAGCCCGGACCCAGGGAAUCCCGUGCCCCGCCCGCAGGGCCCAGGCGCCGCGCCCUCUCCGCGCUCCAGCCCACCGCAGCCCCACCACCCCGUUCCCCGAUCGGCUCCGGACUCUGCGGGCAGCGGGCGUCCCUCGGGGAAAAGCCGUGGAAACACACCCGGAUUGAAAUGCCCCUGGCCCGCCUGACCCGACCCUAGGAGAAGCAGCCGAGUUACCCGACAUCGUGGUCAGCAGGAGCUGGGUCGGUGGCUGGAUGCUGCAGCUGCAGGGACUCAGCGCCUGGGAGGGCUCCUGGGGCAGGGAGAGAAGCAGAGAUGCAACAUUUUUAAAGUUUCACAAAGCAUCCGGCUGCACCCAGGUCCCUGGAACAGGAGACAAACAGAAUUAAUGUUUUAUACCUUCGGGUAUAGGUUUGAGUUUUUUCCCCCUCAUGCCAAGUAUUUAAAACCUCUAGAAACCCAUGAUUUGACAAUCAAUGAUUGCGCGAUACUUUCAAUUUGAAUAUUCAAAGGCUUAACAAAAUGGACUAUCUUCUGCAGAAAUCCUGCACACAGGCACCCCACAGAGAGUCCAGAGAAACAGGGAGUGAGACCCCUUUGGGUCCUGGCCCUUGCUUUUAUUAUAUUUUGAGCAUUUUGUCCUCCUUCCCACAGAUAGAGCAGAUGUCCUCAAAGAUGCUCUGUAUUUCAGCCUUCAGGGCAGCUAAGAAGCCAUGAGUGACUUAGGCUGCCCUGGCCAUGAACACCGGAGCCAGACUGGCUGGCCAGACUGAUUCCCGCAUCCCCCAUCUGUGUUUUGAGGGGAAAUCUUAGGUUUUGAGGAAUGAACAUGGCAGCUAGUGGGUGUGGCACAGCAAGAAGUCGCUCUGGGCCCAGGUGGCAGGCCAGCGGCCUAGCAGAGGCCUUCGCUCUGCACCUCCUAUUUUUCUGGUUCCGCCUGGCUACCAGCGGGCUUUCCUCCCCCUUUCAUCCCGCUCUUCCUGGGCCCGACACUGGGGUUUCUGCUCAGAAUGACUGCCCAUUAAGACCCUUUGCUCCUCCCCACAGAGCUGGGGAUGCCAGGAGCCUCAUCCUCUGGAGACUUUCUGACUCUGGGUUUCACCACCGCACUGCGAAGUGCCCUCUUUGCUUUUUCGCCCGCUAGAGCCACCCCUGCCUUUUUGCUGUAGGAGCACAUGUUAGGAAACAAUGACAAGUUUGGCUCCUGCUCAUUUUAACUGAAAGGAUGUGGACUUAGGUUCAAGCCUUCUCCCAUUGGGGUGAGAAGGGGGAGGGACUUGGGAUCAGGCUUCCCCCUUGGUCCAGGCCCAAGCCCCUCACUAAUGACUUGGGAUUCUACUGGGUCAUCUUCUGUGAGUACUUACUGUGCCUCUUCCACGUGAUUUGGAAGGUGAGGAGACAGGAAUGGUCCACAGAGGGAGAGAGUGCCAGGCCAAGUCCUCUCAUAGCCACCCACCCCCUCCACAGAAGGGGACAGCAAGAGAAGAGAGAGGCAUGGUGAGGUUCCUUUUGCAAAUAACCAAGAUAUUUCCAGGAUUCAAGACCAGGCCAUAGUUUUAGGCCUCUGCUCUUUAUUCUCUGAGAUCUCAGAAAUGCAAAAAGUGUAGUUUAGCCCCAGAGGCCUCAAGAAAAAGAUUGGGGUGCCCCCAAAUGUGUCAAAUACAGAGGGAAACACACAGAGCUUAGGGAAAGGGCAACUGAGAAUGACAAGACUGAUAGGAAUUGCUUGGCAGCUGAAGCCACAUCUCUGGGGGAGAGGAGCAGGCCUGGGAACACCUGAGGUGGCACCUGGCAGUGGAGGGCAGGAUGGAUGUAUUGAAAUCUGACAGCUUCUGGAGCUUCUUUCUACAAAUGCCCCUGAGCCUGUGUCCUAGGUUUCCCUGAUGGACCAGACCUGAGGAGGGGAAGGACAAUGGGAGUGGAGAUAGCACCUCCCCUCCCUGAAUACCUUCUUCCCCGCUGUGCCUAGGCCUUGCCCCCUCUGAAGGAACAGUGAACCAAGCAGCUUGGAAUCUAGGGAUGGUCUCUUGUCCUCAUAGCGUCUUCCAUUACUUCUUUUCUUCGCUGCUCUCCUCCUUUUUGUUAUACUCUUAUUUUUUGAUUUGCUUUUAAAAAGCUUCUUCUUUGUUGCAUUUUUGUUUAUUUCUUUCUGUGUUUCUUUGUCUCUCUUCCUGUCACUGCUUUCUUCCAUUUCUUAUCUGCACUACUGGUUUUCUCCCUGGCUUCACGUGUCUCUGUGUUCCCCUGUGCUGGGGUGUCCUCCCAAUGCUUUCAGGCUUCAUCUCCUUCCUAACCUCUCCUUUCAUGUGGAGAUGGACAGGGAUGGCAGGAGCAUUGAGUGCUCUUGGCAACACCAUUGAAGAUGAUGCUGACGAUCAGCUACCCUGUGAAGAAGGCAGGCCAGGCUGGGUGAGAGGGGAGCUCCUUGGAAGUCAGGGGGUCUGUAAGGACAGCAAGGAUCUUUUUGUCCCAACCUCCAGCAGCCUUUAUGGGUGCUUCUGUGUUGGCCUUGUUUCUGGGAUGGCCAUCUCAGUGCUGUUGCUGGCUAGCGAUUUCAGAAAACUAGAUUUGUCUAGGCCUGAGCCCUGUUUUGAGAAAGAAGCUUCCCUCUGGUUUGUAGCCCAACGUUAAUGAGUUUUGGUUCCUGUUGUUUCUAUAAUUACAAAACCCCAGCACAGGUAUUUAAGAGCCAAAGGCCAUGCUUGUGGAAGUAAGGGAGAAUCUUUCUAAAUGGAUCCUGCAAAUCCUCCUUACAGAUCUGAGUGGAUGAUCAGGCCCAGAGCAACCCUGAGACCCCAGGUACCCACAGCAUUGGCUGUUCUUCAUAGGAGACUCAGAGAAGACUUCAUAGGAGACUCAUUAUUGUUUACUGGACAUCAGGUGCUAUAUUGUAUAGCAUUCACAUUCCACAGGUGAGGAAACAGGCUCAGAGGAAUAAGUGGCAUGCCAAGAUCAUUGAGUGUAUCAGUAGCAGAAUUAGGAUUCAGACUUUGAUAGGCCUAACUCCAAAGCCCUGGCUUUUUUUUUUUUUUUUUGAGAUGGAAUCUUACUCUGUCACCAGGCUGGAGUGCAGUGGCAUGAUCUCAGCUCACUGCAACCUCUGCCUCCUGGGUUCAAGUGAUUCCCCUGCCUUAGCCUCCUGAGUAGCUGGGACUACAGGCAUGCACCACCACGCCCAGCUAAUUUUUGUAUUUUUAGUAGAGAGGAGGUUUCACCGUGUUGGCCAGGAUGGUCUCAAUCUCUUGACCUUGUGAUCUGCCUGCCUCGGCCUCCCAAAGUACUGGGAUUAUAGGCAUGAGCCACCAUGCCUGGCCUUUGCUCUUAACUACUGAUGUUGUCUUCCUGAUCUUUUCUACAAGAAGCUUUUAAACUUUUUGGACUUUAACCUACAAUAAGAAAUCCGUUUUACAUGUUCAGAUUUAUCUAUAACAACAUUUAUAUUUCUAAAACAAACUUUUCAUGAAACAACAUAUACCUACAUAUGUCAGGCACUCUGAUAUUUUCUAUUCUAGUCCACCUUUUCCAUUUCAUUCUAUUUAUGGGAAAUAUAUGUUGGUUGGGAGUCACUGAGUUAAUUUAAUGACCCACUAAUAGGCUGUGAGUGGCAUUGGAAAAAUACCUGCUUGUAAGAUAUGCGAACACACGUUUCAAGGUUGUUUGUGCAUGUGGAAAUAUUUUGGGGUGCUAUCUGUUUUACCAUCAGUUUGUACAAGGACACUAAGACAGUGUAGCCUGCUGACUUGAGAAUGUUCUGUAAGGACUGGAAACACUAGAAUCUUGAAGAAACGCCUGGCUAGAGGUGAAAGUAAGCUGUUAAUUACACUGAUUACAGUUUGUGCCUCUCAGACUGAGAACUCUUUUCUUCUUGCUGCGGGCAUUGCUACCUCUAGGAUGUUUGCCCUGAAGUCCUGAUAGUCUCUUUGGGGUUUUAAUAAAUGGCUGAAAAAAUCGUUGUGGGGUUUCAACAGGCGUUCAUAGGCACCCUUGCUUGGCAAUAUAACAUGACUUUUGAUGUUUGGGUGUUGGAAGGGAUCUUUGAAGUGCUGAGAGGGACUCAGUCUUUUUCCAAAAUCUCUGCUUGUGUCUGUCCAGCCUCUGGCUCCACUGCUUGGCUGAGAUCCUGGCCCAUAGUAGAAUAUGUGUAGAGGAAACGAGAGCUCACUAUUUGUGAGGCAGCCUGUUCCACUAUUGGACUGCUUUAAAUGUAGUGAUCAGUGAUUAUGCUAUAAUCCAAUCAUGUAUUAAUUGGGCACCAACUAUGCACUAGGCAUGGUAUCAAGUACCAGGAGUACAAAAAUAAGUAAACCUUGAUUUCUGCUAUCAAUUACUCUCUUCUCCUACUUCUGUACUACUGCUUUUCUAUUGUGAGUUUGUUUAGUUCAUUAAUUGGUUUAUUCAUUCAUUCAACAAUCAUAUACUGAUUAGCUACUCUGACCAGGUCCAGUACUAACUCUAAAGAAGUUAUGCCCAUCCCAUCUUCACCCCAAGCCUUCUCCUUUUGAGACUCCUCAUCCAGUUUCUUUAGUUCUUCAUAUAUCACUGUUUUUCAGAUCUCUGGCUAUCCUUGCCAUUGACCUCAGAAAUCCUGUAUUUGACCUUAACCUUCUUAUACCCAGUCCAUACCCAAAGUGAUGGAAAUGGAAUAGAUUUCUUUUUAAAGUUUUAAACGAAUAUUUUGACUGAAAAAUUUUGGCAGUCUUGUAUGCAAAUGACACUGCAGAGCAUUGUUUUCUCCCCCCCACAUAGGAGAUUUUAUUCAACUUAGGCACAGGCAUAUUAAAAGACUUUCAGUAUAAGGAAAAGGGGUAGUUUAUUCCCUCCAAAUUUGACUACAGCUCGAAAUUGUCUUUAUUAAUGCAAAGUUCUUUUGUCACCUUGACUUUGGGACACUGUUACCAAACCUUGUGGGAAAUAUCAAGUUCCAGAAGAUUGAAUACAUGCAGGAAACAAAUGUUUUUUGGGCCCUAGAGUGAACAUUUGGUCCAUAUGAAAAUGACCAGGAAGACAAUUAGGUGAAGGUUUUUUAAUGAUUUGUGCUACGUCAGUCUCUUCCCAUAAGACAUAUUCAAAGUUUUAACUUUUCCUUAAGAGGCUUCCAUGGGGAGCAAGCAUUUGAUAAUUCAUCCUUUAACUAAGAAAAACACCACCGUACACUGCUUGAAGAGUUCCUCUUCUAUUACUUAAAACGUUUUUAUUGUGCAACAUUUAAGGCAUACAAAAACAUAUAAAGAAUACCAUGAUGAAAAUCUAUGACUGUAUUACCAAGCUUAAGAAAUAAAACAAUUGAGUGAUCUCUCAUUUAUGACUAAAUUAACUUAUUAAAACCAUUAAAACUUUUGGAUUAUUCCUGUUAA
rnacentral:antisense_RNA from 1 species